AUGAACGCUGGCGGCGUGCCUAAUACAUGCACGUCGAGCGAACGGACGAGAAGCUUGCUUCUCUGAUGUUAGCGGCGGACGGGUGAGUAACACGUGGAUAACCUACCUAUAAGACUGGGAUAACUUCGGGAAACCGGAGCUAAUACCGGAUGAUAUUUUGAACCGCAUGGUUCAAAAGUGAAAGACGGUCUUGCUGUCACUUAUAGAUGGAUCCGCGCUGCAUUAGCUAGUUGGUAAGGUAACGGCUUACCAAGGCAACGAUGCAUAGCCGACCUGAGAGGGUGAUCGGCCACACUGGAACUGAGACACGGUCCAGACUCCUACGGGAGGCGGCAGUAGGGAAUCUUCCGCAAUGGGCGAAAGCCUGACGGAGCAACGCCGCGUGAGUGAUGAAGGUCUUCGGAUCGUAAAACUCUGUUAUUAGGGAAGAACAUAUGUGUAAGUAACUGUGCACAUCUUGACGGUACCUAAUCAGAAAGCCACGGCUAACUACGUG
rnacentral:rRNA from 1 species